rnacentral:rRNA from 1 species
UAUGUGAUCGUCUCUCGCAUAUCAAUAAGCGGAGGAAAAGAAACUAACAAGGAUUCCCCUAGUAACGGCGAGUGAAGCGGGAAGAGCUCAAAUUUGAAAUCUUAAAGGGUUUCCCUUUACGAAUUGUAGUUUAAAGAAGUGUUUUCUGUUGAGGUUUUGGUAAAAGUUCUUUGGAAUAGGACAUCAUAGAGGGUGAGAAUCCCGUAUUUGACCUUUACUUUCAACUUUGUGAUACACUUUCGAAGAGUCGGAUUGUUUGGGAAUGCAGUCCAAAAUGGGUGGUAAAUUUCAUCUAAAGCUAAAUAUUGGCGAGAGACCGAUAGCGAACAAGUACCGUGAGGGAAAGAUGAAAAGAACUUUGAAAAGAGAGUUAAACAGUACGUGAAAUUGUCGAAAGGGAAGCGUUUGACACCAGUGUUGUUUUUCUGAAAAUCAAUUAAAGAACUGUUUAUGCUAAGCUGUUUAGACUUUAUCAGCUAAUCUGUUUAGUUUUGAGCUUUUCUUUAAUGCACUUUUCAGUUAACAAGUCAACAUCAAUUUCUUUUGCUGUAAAAAAGCUUGAGGAAGGUGGCUUGAGAUUCGUCUUAAGUGUUUAUAGCCUCUUGCCUAUGCAGUCGGAGAGAUUGAGGUCUGCAGCGUAGAUCCUUCGGGGCUAAAUGCAUUUGUGCUAAGUUAUAGCAUUUUAUAGACAACUUGUUGACUAUGAUUUGUCUUGUAGCUUACUCGCUUAUGUUAUUUUACCUACGCUUAGGAUGUUGAAGUCAUCGUAUCGCGC